rnacentral:rRNA from 1 species
CCUACGGGUGGCUGCAGCAAGGAAUCUUCCGCAAUGGGCGACAGCCUGACGGAGCAACGCCGCGUGCGGGAUGACGCCCUUCGGGGUGUAAACCGCUUUUCUUCGGGAAGAACGUGGGGCAACCCACCUGACGGUACCGGAGGAAGAAGGACCGGCUAACUACGUGCCAGCAGCCGCGGUAAUACGUAGGGUCCGAGCGUUGUCCGGAGUUACUGGGCGUAAAGCGCGCGCAGGCGGCGGUGUUGGCUCGGCGUGAAAGCCCCCGGCUCAACCGG